rnacentral:rRNA from 1 species
UGGGGAAUUGUUCGCAAUGGGCGCAAGCCUGACGACGCAACGCCGCGUGGAGGAUGAAGAUCUUCGGGUCGUAAACUCCUGUCGAGCGGGACGAAUGUCUUGCUGGUGAAUACCCAGCGAGGGUGACGGUACCGCUAAAGGACGCCCCGGCUAACUCCGUGCCAGCAGCCGCGGUAAUACGGGGGGGGCAAGCGUUGUUCGGAAUUACUGGGCGUAAAGGGCGCGUAGGUGGCCAAUUAAGUCAGACGUGAAAUCCCCAGGCUCAACUUGGGAACUGCGUCUGAUACUGGUUGGCUUGAAUUCGGGAGAGGGAUGCAGAAUUCCAGGUGUAGCGGUGAAAUGCGUAGAUAUCUGGAGGAAUACCGGUGGCGAAGGCGGCAUCCUGGACCGAGAUUGACACUGAUGAGCGAAAGCCAGGGGAGCAAA